GCCAAACCGUAAAAAUUUAACCUACACCAAUAAACGCCAGGGUACUACGAGCUUUAGCUUAAAACCCAAAGGACUUGACGGUAUCCCACCCAACUAGAGGAGCCUGUUCUAUAAUCGAUGAUCCACGAUACACCUAACCAUUUCUUGCUUAUCAGCCUGUAUACCUCCGUCGCAAGCUUACCGUAUGAACGUUAAACAGUAGGCUCAAGGGCCAUAACGCCACAACGUCAGGUCAAGGUGCAGCUCAUGAAAUGGAAGAGAUGGGCUACAAUUUCUAACUUAGAACAAACGAAAUACUACAUGAAACAUAGUCAUGAAGGCGGAUUUAGCAGUAAGCAGAAAAUAGAGAGUUCUGCUAAACUUGGCCCUGGGAUGUGUACAAACCGCCCGUCACCCUCUUCGAUAGCCUUAAACACAGUUCUUAACAUAAUAAUGCACCUUAGAAGAGGCAAGUCGUAACAUGGUAAGUAUACUGGAAAGUGUACUUGGAACAACAAAAUGUAGCUUAACUAAAAGCCUUUCGCUUACACCGAAAAAACAUUUGUGAGACCCAAAUCAUUUUGAUACCAAAAAUCUAGCCUAUAACAGCCCAAUACCAAAACAAACAUACAUGAACAUAAAAUAAAACAUUUUCAUUUUCUAGUAGAUGCGAUCAAAAAACACAUAAGAGCUUAAGAAACAGUACCGAGAGGGAAAGAUGAAAUAAAAAUGAAAUAAAUUUAAAGUUAAUUAAAGCAGAGAUUAAAACUCG
rnacentral:rRNA from 1 species